rnacentral:lncRNA from 1 species
CCAAGGAUGAGACUGUGACUCAAGCAAGGCCAGGCUGAAAGAAACCAACAUACAGAAGAAACAAGAGGCAAAUUGUGUAGAGAGACAAAGCCUUGAUUAUAUCAUUUGGGUCUCAGAAGCCAUGCCUGAUCUCUUCCCAGGUAUGGAGGUCAAAUUCCUUUUGCUUUCUGCUUAAUUGAGUUUGAUUUUGGUUUCUGUUACUUUGAAG